CGGUCCUAAGAGCUUUGCAUUGGGGCUCCACGCACCUGGUUUUUUCGACAAGGCUUUGAAUGUCGAUAAGUGCUUGUUACAAAGCGAGCCAGCAAACAUGAUUCUUGCCGCUGUUCAAGAUUGCUGGAGAGUUCCCCAACUAAGUCUUUCACCAUAUGAUGCUCGUUCACAUGCAGGGUUUCUUAAACAUUGGAUGCUGAGAACUGGAAGGUAUUAAAGGAACGUGGACACUGGUUCACAAGAACUCAUGGUCAAUUUUGUGACAUCGUCUUAUAAGCCAAGUGCGUACGUGUAUGGUUCAGUCUCCUCCUAGGGCCAAGCACGUGUAUGGUUACAAGAACUCAUGGUCAACUGAUGCACACAAGAAUGCACAGAUAAACGGCAUAGAGAAUGCAAUAUUCAUCCAAGGGGAUCUGUAUAAGAUAGGAGAGGAAUUUGGGAGCAAUUUCCCUAAGCCUGAUAUCAUUAUAUCUGGUUAUAAUCUUCUUCACAUUCUUCCUGAUAAUACUUGCAAGCCUACCAAUUUUUCUCCUCUCUCACUAGAGUAAGUGUUUAGGGUUUUGGCUCGCUCUUUUCAUUGACAAGAGA